rnacentral:rRNA from 1 species
CCUACGGGAGGCAGCAGUGGGGAAUAUUGGGCAAUGGGCGCAAGCCUGACCCAGCAACGCCGCGUGAAGGAAGAAGGCUUUCGGGUUGUAAACUUCUUUUCUCAGGGACGAAGAAAGUGACGAUACCUGAGGAAUAAGACACGGCUAACUACGUGCCAGCAGCCGCGGUAAUCCGUAGGUGGCAAGCGUUAUCCGGAUUUAUUGGGUGUAAGGGGCGUGUAGGCGGUAGCGUAAGUCAGAUGUGAAAACUCGGGGCUCAACCCUGAUCCUGCAUUUGAAACUGUGUUUCUUGAGUGCUGGAGAGGUAAGCGGAAUGUCGGGUGUAGCGGUGAAAUGCGUAGAGAUACGGAGGAACACCAGUGGCGAAGGCGGAUUGCUGGACAGUAACUGACGCUGAGGCGCGAAAGCGUGGGGAGCAAACAGGAUUAGAUACCCGGGUAGUC